rnacentral:lncRNA from 1 species
UGGUUAUGGAGAAAAGGGAAAGAAAAAUGAAUUCUUCUGUUAUAUCAAGAACAUAGCCUAUCACAUUAAAUGACAUGUCCAAAAAGGCCUGCAAAUAUUGACAAAAUAGAAUCCAACUUCUUCAUUUUCUUUUAUUUAGUGGCAUUGGAAAAAACUACCUUCCUUUCAUUUUUUCUUUUUUUUUUUUUUUUUUUUUUUUUUUUUUUACUUCUUUUGUAUCAAAUUUGAUCAUGUUCUCUUCUGAUGGAAUUAGGACGAAUUCCAAUGACCACAGAAGAGGGGUCGUAUCAUCAUAAUUGGCAAGUCGGUUCACCCGAGAUAGUCGAGAUUGGAGAGGAAAGCACAAGCAUGGAUGGAGGUUUUAAUGAUGUUUAUGUUGCUGUUGGGAAAAAUGAUUUGCAUGCUGUUAAAUGGGCACUUGAUCAUGCUGUCUCCAGCGAAAAAUUGUGUUUUCCUUGUGCAUGUUUUCCAUCCUAUUACUUACAUCCCUGCUCCAGGUAACCUACUGCUCUUCUAUUUUCUUGAAAAGACAUAUUUAGUAAGGAGGAUUGAAUAGCCAGACGGUAUUAAGAUUGGAAAAAGAGCUAAAAUCUUAUUUAUUUUAUUGUCUAGUCCUAUCUAACAGUGUAUACAGCAGACACACAGUAUGACUAUGAACCAGAUCAUGAGUCGAUGAUCUUAUUUCCUGUUUGACCUGAUCAUUCUCCAACAAAAAACAGAUGUUUAGCUUGGAGUCUAUAAAAAUUGAUUUGUGGAAUAUAUGGUCCUUGGCAUGCAAUAUUCGAUAUAAUUAGACAGUUUAAUGAACAAAAACUUUAAAACAUUUUCUUUACAUACAGUCUAACUUACCAAAAGUCAUAUCUUUACAAUAGAUUUUCCUACAAAUUGGGGUCGACUAGAUAAAAGUGCUUAAAAAUUGGACAAACAUCAGUUUUAAUUACACAUUCCUUUGGAUCUAAUACUUUUAGGCACUUACAAGUCUACACACGCGAGCACUAAUAUCUUACUUUUCGGUAUCCAUUGCACUUGAACUGUUUGUUAAAAUGGCUGAGUGAAACAUUUUAUUGCCUGAAGUUUCUGUUGGAAUUUUGUAUCGGAAAUUGGUUGUGACCAAUUUUACAUGAUUAUUUAGGCGGAAUUCUUAAUUUGGUGAAUGAGAAAUUAAGCCAAAUGUAAGCAGUUUAAUAUUGAAAAUUGUUGAAAAAUUGUAUAGAAUAUUGUAGAAUAUUCUAGAAAAUGGUUGGAUGAAAAUAUGUAUUGUCAUGUGAACGGUCAUAACCUUUGGCAUAAUUAUUUUCCAAUAAUUAUGAAUUUCAAGAGACGUGACUCUUGGUAUGGUUGUGGUCAUAACCUUUGGCAUAAUUAUUUUCCAAUAAUUAUGAAUUCCAAGAGAUGUGACUCUUGGUAUGUUUGUGUCUUUUGACAUACCUUUCCAACUACUAUAUAUAGAUCCCAUGUGUUUGAAUUUUAUCAUUCAAGAAAUUCAUGAAAGUCAAUAGAUAGAUCAUAUCAUUCCAUUCCAUGCUUACACUUUAGUUUGCAUAAAACACUUUUAGAAGUGAUUUAAAUUUGCAUCAAAGUCAUGGUCAUGGUAGAGAGGGAAUUCCGUUCGAGUUCGCUGGUUGAAGUCAUUUGGAGUGCUCCUAUGACUCGACGUGGUCGUUGUAUCUUGGGAGAUGAUUGUUGAAGAACCGUUAGCACCGAUGUGGGACAAAUUCAUCUUAACGACAAAGUGUUCAAUACUUGCCUCGGUCAAAAAUCUAUCUUCUCACUUUAUUUUCUGAGUUCUGUUAAUUAUACUUUGAUUUCAGAAAAUGAUUAAUCUAAUUUACGUGUUUAUGUUGCGAGGUUCAAUUCAAAGGACAAAGUUCAAUCAUUCAAGAAUCGAAAGAGAAGAAUCCAUAUUCUUGCGUUUGGAAUCGGUAAAUUAUCAUUUCUCCUUAUUAAAUCCAAUUUCGAUAAGUCGAAAUUAUGUUUCGAUUUCAUGCAAAUCGACGAUAGGUUUUUAUGAAUAUAAUUUCCACAUAAUCGGUGUAAAUUUUCCAACAGUUUCAUGUGCAGUAGGAAGGCUAUCAAAGAGCCAAUUAAGCAAAGAGCAAGUGCAGGUUUAUCAAUAAGGAAAGUAACAGGAGAAGGAAUCUCUUAGGAAGAUAUAUUCGUCCAUGCAACGACACAAAAGUGUGUAUAGAAACUAUUCCAUGUGAAAUUCGAGUAGUUUUUUCGACAAAUUCCAAUUUAAAGUAUUCAAUUCGGAGCAUUCAAACGCAAAAAGAAUGAGUUUUUCAAUAUUUUGUUCACUGGUAACAGUAGAAACAAUGCUUGUGGAGAGAAAUGCAGCAGCCAAAGCAAUUAUUGAUCUGAUUCAUGUUGUUAACAUUACUAAUCUUGUUAUAG